ensembl:lncRNA
AUGUAUUAUUAUUAUUAUUAUUAUUUUCUAGUUUUGUCUAAAAAGAAGGAGAUGCCAUGCCAUGGAGCGAUAUGUAAUUGGAUAUGGGAUCAAUUAGCAAUUGCAUCUGGAUUUAUCUUUUUAAUUCUUCCUUCAUUGCAAUUUGCUGUUGUGUACUUUGCUUUUGGAGCUGCCAGAGGAGUGAAUGGCGAGCGUGCAGUGGGGGAUCUGAGAGUCAUCGUCUUUCCCUCUGAAAGCCUCUUUGCUUUUUCUCUGUUGAUUUUACUCAUGUUUGGACCCUGUAAGUACAACUGAUGCUUUUUUCUUGGUUUCAUUACAAAUUCUAACCUGAUUAAUGAAAUUUACAUCAACAUAUUUACAAGAAAACAUUUUAACUCUUAUUGGAUUACCAUGAAUUGAAUAUGGCUAAAUAUCUGACUACUGAUGAUCUAUUUUUCUUGACCAAGCAGUUUAUAGAAGUGAUAUGAAGAGUCUAUAUUCUGAUGAGGAUUCAUGCAUGUCUCACGUUAGGAUGGAUGUUGGUUUUUGAUUAACAGUGUGUGUUUCGUAAUUCAAACACACUCGGUCAUCAAUUUCAUUACUGAGAGCUGCUCAGGUUACAUGAAGGAUGAACAGCAAUAACAAACUGAAUUGACUAUUACCAAUGAUGAUGCAUAUUCAAUUUAUUUAUUUUAUUUAACAAUUUCAACAUGAUAAUCAGCAGGAAUGGAUGACUAAAUGAGAUCGAUGAGUGAUUAGUGAAAGCUGAGUGUCAAGUCCAUGAAUCAGCUUUAGUGCAUCUGUGCUUUGAGACUUUACUUAAAUAUCCUUCUCACACUGCUCUUAACACAGGGAUUUCAGACAUGAAGUGUCUGCAGUGUUUUCAGGUUAGUAUCACUGCACUGAAAUGUACUUUAUAUUUAAUAUACACAGCUUGUUUCCUAAUCUAGCUUUCAAUAAGCCUGCUAUUGUAUAUUAUGAAUAUUCUUGACUUACAUGUACAUACAUCUUAUUCAGGAAGCAGCAAGGCCUCUUGACAUUCCAGUCACCAGAUCAGACCAGAACCAGGAUUCUCAGGUGAAUAUCUUUUAUAAGAUCAUAUUGAUAUCAGGUGUAUUCUUGUCCUACAAUUAAAAGCUGCUUUUUUCAUGUAGAUAUAGUUUAAUUUAUUUUUAUAUCUCUUAUCCUGGACUUAGGAUUCAGCAAGAUCUGAAGAAACUCCAACCAAUGGAUUAAACCAGCAUCAGAAAACCACAGAAUCACAUGAAACAAUUCCUCUAGUGAAUAAAGAUAUGGAGGCUAAUAGGAGUGACA